UGAACGCUGGCGGCGUGCCUAAUACAUGCAAGUCGAACGCGCAGCGAAAGGUGCUUGCACCUUUCAAGCGAGUGGCGAACGGGUGAGUAACACGUGGAUAACCUACCUCAAGGUUGGGGAUAACAUUUGGAAACAGAUGCUAAUACCGAAUGAGACGAGUGAUCGCAUGAUGACUGGUUAAAAGGCGCUACGGCGUCGCCUAGAGAUGGAUCCGCGGUGCAUUAGUUAGUUGGUGGGGUAAAGGCUUACCAAGACAAUGAUGCAUAGCCGAGUUGAGAGACUGAUCGGCCACAUUGGGACUGAGACACGGCCCAAACUCCUACGGGAGGCUGCAGUAGGGAAUCUUCCACAAUGGGCGAAAGCCUGAUGGAGCAACGCCGCGUGUGUGAUGAAGGCUUUCGGGUCGUAAAGCACUGUUGUAUGGGAAGAACAGCUAGAGUAGGGAAUGACUUUAGUUUGACGGUACCAUACCAGAAAGGGACGGCUAAAUACGUGCCAGCAGCCGCGGUAAUACGUAUGUCCCAAGCGUUAUCCGGAUUUAUUGGGCGUAAAGCGAGCGCAGACGGUUGAUUAAGUCUGAUGUGAAAGCCCGGAGCUCAACUCCGGAAAGGCAUUGGAAACUGGUCAACUUGAGUGCAGUAGAGGUAAGUGGAACUCCAUGUGUAGCGGUGGAAUGCGUAGAUAUAUGGAAGAACACCAGCGGCGAAGGCGGCUUACUGGACUGUAACUGACGUUGAGGCUCGAAAGUGUGGGUAGCAAACAGGAUUAGAUACCCUGGUAGUCCACACCGUAAACGAUGAACACUAGGUGUUAGGAGGUUUCCGCCUCUUA
rnacentral:rRNA from 1 species